UCGGGGCGAGUAAAGCGGCGCACGGGUGAGUAACACGUGGAUAAUCUACCCUUUGGAUUGGAAUAACCUGUCGAAAGACGGGCUAAUGCCGAGUAAGCUCUCGAGAAUAUAAUGUUCUUGCGAGGAAAGAUGGCGCAAGCUAUCGCCGAUGGAUGAGUCUGCGUCCCAUUAGUUAGUUGGUGGGGUAAUGGCUUACCAAGACAAUGAUGGGUACCUGGUCUGAGAGGAUGACCAGGCACACUGGAACUGAAACACGGUCCAGACUCC
rnacentral:rRNA from 1 species